GGGGGGGGGGGGGGGGGGGGGGGGGGGAGGGGGGGCGGGCGGGGGGGGGGGGCGGGGGGGGGGGGGGUGAGGGGCGAACGGGUGAGUAGCACGUGAGUAACCUGCCUCCUUCUUUGGGAUAACGCCCGGAAGCGGGUGCUAAUACUGGAUAUUCACUGGUCUUCGCCUGGGGGUUGGUGGAAAGGGGUUUUCUGGUGGGGGGUGGUCUGGCGGCCUAUCAGCUUGUUGGUGGGGUGAUGGCGUACCAAGGCUUUGACGGGUGGCCGGCCUGAGAGGGUGACCGGUCACAUUGGGACGGAGAUACGGCCCAGAGUACUACGGGAGGCAGCAGGGGGGAAUAUUGCACAAUGGGCGAAAGCCUGAUGCAGCGACGCCGCGUGAGGGAUGGAGGCCGUAGGGUUGUGAACCUCUUUCGCUCAUGGUCAAGCCGCAACAAUGGUUGUGGUGAGGGUAGUGGGUAAAGAAGCGCCGGCUAACUACGUG
rnacentral:rRNA from 1 species